CCUACGGGAGGCAGCAGUGGGGAAUAUUGCACAAUGGGGGAAACCCUGAUGCAGCGACGCCGCGUGAAGGAAGAAGUAUUUCGGUAUGUAAACUUCUAUCAGCAGGGAAGAAAAUGACGGUACCUGACUAAGAAGCCCCGGCUAACUACGUGCCAGCAGCCGCGGUAAUACGUAGGGGGCAAGCGUUAUCCGGAUUUACUGGGUGUAAAGGGAGCGUAGGCGGUUUAGCAAGUCAGAAGUGAAAGCCCGGGGCUCAACUCCGGGACUGCUUUUGAAACUGUUGAACUAGAUUGCAGGAGAGGUAAGUGGAAUUCCUAGUGUAGCGGUGAAAUGCGUAGAUAUUAGGAGGAACACCAGUGGCGAAGGCGGCUUGCUGGACUGUAAAUGACGCUGAGGCUCGAAAGCGUGGGGAGCAAACAGGAUUAGAUACCCCUGUAGUC
rnacentral:rRNA from 1 species